rnacentral:rRNA from 1 species
AGCUCCAAUAGCGUAUAUUAAAGUUGCUGCAGUUAAAAAGCUCGUAGUUGCAUUUCCGAGGCAAGGGAUUAGUCCGACCUUUGGUGGGUAUUUAAUCCUCUUGCCUCGUCCUUGAGUGGUGCUUCUUGGUAUUAAGUUAUCGAGGAGAUAGCCGCUCAUCGUUUACUGUGAGAAAAUUAGAGUGUUCAAAGCAGGCUUAUGCCGUUGAAUAUAUUAGCAUGGAAUAAUAAGAUAGGGCCUCGGUACUAUUUUGUUGGUUUGAGAACCAAGGUAAUGAUGAAUAGGGACAGUUGGGGGUAUUCGUAUUCAGUUGUCAGAGGUGAAAUUCUUAGAUUUACGGAAGACGAACUACUGCGAAAGCAUUUACCAAGGAUGUUUGCA